rnacentral:rRNA from 1 species
CGGGAUGCAGCAGCAGUGGGGAAUAUUGCACAAUGGGCGCAAGCCUGAUGCAGCCAUGCCGCGUGUAUGAAGAAGGCCUUCGGGUUGUAAAGUACUUUCAGCGGGGAGGAAGGGAGUAAAGUUAAUACCUUUGCUCAUUGACGUUACCCGCAGAAGAAGCACCGGCUAACUCCGUGCCAGCAGCCGCGGUAAUACGGAGGGUGCAAGCGUUAAUCGGAAUUACUGGGCGUAAAGCGCACGCAGGCGGUUUGUUAAGUCAGAUGUGAAAUCCCCGGGCUCAACCUGGGAACUGCAUCUGAUACUGGCAAGCUUGAGUGUCGUAGAGGGGGGUAGAAUUCCAGGUGUAGCGGUGACAUGCGUAGAGAUCUGGAGGAAUACCGGUGGCGAAGGCGGCCCCCUGGACGAAGACUGACGCUCAGGUGCGAAAGCGUGGGGAGCAAACAGGAUUAGAUACCCUAGUAGUC